CCUACGGGUGGCAGCAGUGGGGGAUAUUGCACAAUGGGGGAAACCCUGAUGCAGCGACGCCGCGUGUGGGAAGACGGUCCUCUGGAUUGUAAACCACUGUCCCCAGGGACGAAGAUGCCGGUACCUGGGGAGGAAGCUCCGGCUAACUACGUGCCAGCAGCCGCGGUAAUACGUAGGGAGCGAGCGUUGUCCGGAAUUACUGGGUGAAAAGGGAGCGUAGGCGGGACUGAAAGUUGGGUGUCAAAUCUACCGGCUCAACCGGUAGCCGCACUCAAAACUGCAGUUCUUGAGUGUAGUAGAGGCAGGCGGAAUUCCUGGUGUAGCGGUGAAAUGCGUAGAUAUUAGGAGGAACACCAGUGGCGAAGGCGGCCUGCUGGGCUUUUACUGACGCUGAGGCUCGAAAGUGUGGGGAGCAAACAGGAUUAGAUACCCGAGUAGUC
rnacentral:rRNA from 1 species